AUGGAGAGGUCUGUGCCUAAGAGGGGCCGAGUCUGUGGCGGGGGCUUCCCAUGGGUGAGCUUCGGGCUCUCUCUCUCUUUCUCUCUCUCUCUCACCAGGACCUUGUUUUCCAGUCCCAAUCAGCCAUGCGAGACGCUCCCUUCCACUAUCCCUGAGGACACACAAUGUUGCCAGAACCUAGAGGGCAUCCCUGUUGAAACCCCCUGGAAUCGGGGUUGCAGGCAGAGCAGAAGCCCCUCCUUUGGGCCCCCAAGCUCCACUUCAACAAACCACGCAGCUCUAACUAGGGCUUCCAGCAUGAAGCUCAUCACCUCCCCUUCCCAGCCAAGCAGUGACAACGAAGGCCCAAAUCCCUGGAGGCUGAUGCCAGGUGGAAAACGCCCUCUAGAUGAGGAAGUGGGAUGUGUGUACAAUUCGAGGAAUCUGCUGAAUAAUUUGGGUGUCACUGAAGUGGCAAUUCAAGCCGGGAGCUGGGGCCCGGACAGUUCAUUACCUGGCUGGGUUCCCUGCGCAGGCAGUUCACGCACGCAGGCUGCCCUCUGGAAGAACUGCGGCUGGAAGGCGCAAUUCUCCCAAGAAAGCGAAGACACAGACUCAUGGGGGAGAGUUCUGGGCAGAAACGGAGGCGGAGAUUGGAGUGAAGCAUCCACAAGCCAAGGAGUGCCAAAGAUUGUCAGCAACCCUCAGACGCUGGAGGAGGCAGGGAAGGAGCCUCCCCAAGAGCCUUUGGAGGGAGCAGGGCCCUGCUGACACCUCAGUGUCAGACACCUGGCCUGCAGGACGGUGAGAGAAUGGAUUCUGCUGUUACAAGCCACCCAGCUCUCGGCCCUUGGUUAUGUGGGUCACAGGACACCAGUAGAGUGGUAUCUAGUCAUUCAUUUCAGAAAUGUUUACUGCGUGCCAGUACAUACCAGGCACUUUCAAAGACACUGGGGAUACGGAAAUAAACAAUAAACAGGAUCCUUGCUCUCCGUGGAG
rnacentral:lncRNA from 1 species